GCGUUUCGCUUUGCGUGGUGCGCAAAAUGCGUAACGACAGCGCGAUUGACGGUUAACGGCGCGAAGCGACGUUCAACAUCAAAAUCAAGCAGUGGAGCGUUUUGGGGUGGGGUGACUGCGUACCUUUUGUAUAAUGGGUCAGCGACUUAUAUUCUGUAGCAAGGUUAACCGAAUAGGGGAGCCGCAGGGAAACCGAGUCUUAACUGGGCGUUAAGUUGCAGGGUAUAGACCCGAAACCCGGUGAUCUAGCCAUGGGCAGGUUGAAGGUUGGGUAACACUAACUGGAGGACCGAACCGACUAAUGUUGAAAAAUUAGCGGAUGACUUGUGGCUGGGGGUGAAAGGCCAAUCAAACCGGGAGAUAGCUGGUUCUCCCCGAAAGCUAUUUAGGUAGCGCCUCGUGAACUCAUCUUCGGGGGUAGAGCACUGUUUCGACUAGGGGGUCAUCCCGACUUACCAACUCGAUGCAAACUGCGAAUACCGUAGAAUGUUAUCACGGGAGACACACGGCGGGUGCUAACGUCCGUCGUGAAGAGGGAAACAACCCAGACCGCCAGCUAAGGUCCCAAAGUCAUGGUUAAGUGGGAAACGAUGUGGGAAGGCCCAGACAGCCAGGAUGUUGGCUUAGAAGCAGCCAUCAUUUAAAGAAAGCGUAAUAGCUCACUGGUCGAGUCGGCCUGCGCGGAAGAUGUAACGGGGCUAAACCAUGCACCGAAGCUGCGGCAGCGA
rnacentral:rRNA from 1 species